rnacentral:rRNA from 15 species
CCAGUAGUCAUAUGCUUGUCUCAAAGAUUAAGCCAUGCAUGUCUAAGUUCACACCCUCGUACGGUGAAACCGCGAAUGGCUCAUUAAAUCAGUCGAGGUUCCUUAGAUGAUCCAUUUCUACUUGGAUAACUGUGGUAAUUCUAGAGCUAAUACAUGCCCAACAGCUCCGACCCCGGGCUUCGCGGUUCGGGGAAAGAGCGCUUUUAUUAGUUCAAAACCAGUCGGGGGUUUCGGCCCUCGUGCUUUGGUGACUCUGGAUAACUUUGAGCCGAUCGCAUGGCCUCGAGCCGGCGACGCAUCUUUCAAAUGUCUGCCCUAUCAAAUGACGACGGUACGUGAUCUGCCUACCGUGUUGACUACGGGUAGCGGGGAAUCAGGGUUCGAUUCCGGAGAGGGAGCAUGAGA